UAUUCACAGGUUCAUGCAUGUUGUAGCAUGUGACAGAAUGUCCUUCUUUUUAUAAGGCUGAAUAAUACUCCCUUGUACGUAUAUGCCACAUUCUUUUUAUCCUUUCGUGUGUUCACAGGCAUUUGGGCGGCUUCUCCUCUAGGGAAUUGGGAGUAAUGCUGCAAUGAGCAUGGGUAUGCAAAUAUCUUGUCAAGAUCCUGCUUUCAGUUUUUUUUGAUAUAUACUCAGAAGUGGAAUUGCUGGAUCAUAUGGUAAUUCUAUUUUUAGUGUUUUGAAGAAUCAUGUUAACUUUUAAACAAAUAGCCCCAUUCUCAUGGACUGUAGUGCAAUAUGUUAAGAGGUGGCAUAUUGGCUUCCCUCUAAUUAAAUUGAAAAUAGCAAUCAUGCUCAUAUAUAACCAUUAAAAUAUGUUUAAACUUC